rnacentral:rRNA from 1 species
AGAGUUUGAUUCUGGCUCAGAACGAACGUUGGCGGCGCGUUUUAAGCAUGCAAGUCGAGCGGCAAGGGUCUUCGGGCCCCUAGAGCGGCGGACGGGUGAGUAACACGUGGACAAUCUGCCCCCCGGCCGGGGAUAGCCCAGGGAAACCUGGAUUAAUACCGGAUGAGACGGGACCCGCGGAGGCGGGAUCCGGGAAAGGCGCUGCGGCGCCGCCGGGGGAUGAGUCUGCGUCCCAUUAGCUUGACGGCGGGGUAACGGCCCACCGUGGCGACGAUGGGUAGCCGGCCUGAGAGGGUGGACGGCCACAUUGGAACUGAGACACGGUCCAGACUCCUACGGGAGGCAGCAGCUAAGAAUCUUCCGCAAUGGGCGAAAGCCUGACGGAGCGACGCCGCGUGAACGAAGAAGGCCGUGAGGUUGUAAAGUUCUUUUCGGGAGGGGGAACAACCGUGGCAGGGAAUGGCCGCGGGAUGACGUGAAUCCCGGAAUAAGCCCCGGCUAACUACGUGCCAGCAGCCGCGGUAACACGUAGGGGGCGAGCGUUGUUCGGAAUCAUUGGGCGUAAAGGGCGUGCAGGCGGUCCUGCAAGUCCGGCGUGAAAGACCCCGGCCCAACCGGGGGGGCGCGCUGGAAACUGCAGGGCUUGAGUACAGGAGGGGAUGCCGGAAUUCCAGGUGUAGGGGUGAAAUCUGUAGAUAUCUGGAGGAACACCAAUGGCGAAAGGCAGGCAUCUGGCCAUGUACUGACGCUGAGACGCGAAGGUGCGGGGAGCAAACAGGAUUAGAUACCCUGGUAGUC